rnacentral:lncRNA from 1 species
GUAACUGAACUUUCCCCUUGGCCAGGGCCAUCUUGUCUGCUCCUUACUGUACAUGUGGCUGGCAGAGAAGGGAAGGUGGAGCCGCUAUUUUGAACAUGAUUGGCACAACUGCCAGCAUCUAUAUCUGCAGCUUGAUUUUACAGGCUGCUCUUUGUUAGAAAGGAACAUGAUUUGGGGCUACUUUUCAUUAAAAGGAAAACUGUACCGAAGACUUCCAUACCCUCACUAUCUGUGAUCCCAUCUUGGAUACCACAUUACCUUAAACACUGCCUCAGCCAGGUGAUCAAGGUCAACGUCUACUGUGAUAAGUCAUGGUUUUGGUGUGUACCCUUGAUGUGAUGUGAUAAAAAUGGCACUUUACCUCUGUGGUCUUCCUCUGAAAAAUCCCGUAACAGCAGCCUAAUCAUGAGAAGCAUAUCAACAAAACUCAGACUCAGGGACAUUCUACAAAAUACCAGGCUGUCCCUCCCUGAAAUUGUCAAGUUCACCAAAAACAAGGUGAAUCUAAGAAACCUGUUACAGCCAAGAGGAGCCUAAGAAGACAUGAGGACUAAAUAUAACAUGGAAUUCGGGAUAGGAUUGUGCUACAGAAAAUGUAUGUGCUAAUGUGAGAUGUUAACAGUUGGAGAAACUCAGUUUUGGGUAUAAGGAAUUCUCUGUACUAUGUUUAUCUAAAAACAAUUCCAUGGUGAGCAAACUUAAGCAUAGAAAUGUUAAAUAAAUUGUCCAAAAUAGAGAAGUAAAUAGCAGUGCCAGGUUUCAAGCAUAAGAAUCAUCAACUCUGAACUUUAAACACAGCUCUGUAUGGUACUUUUGUUUAUAUCAAUGCCUAGAUAGAUAAAUAGGUAGAUAGAUAAUUUCCAAGUGCUAGAAACAAAAAAGGAACUAAAACUGAUAAAGAAUAUAAAUGAGGCCAGGCAGGGUGGCUCACACCUGUAAUCCCAGCAUUUUGGGAGGCCGAGGCAGGCAGAUCACUGAAGGUUCGGAGUUCAAGACCAGCCUGGCCAACUGGGGAAACCCUGUCUCUACUAAAAAAAAAAAAAAAUAGCCAGGCAUGGUGGCAUGUGCCUGUGAAGCAAGAGAUGUGAGAGGAAAAACAAAUUUUUCCUCUUUCUUUUGGUAUGGGCAGCUUCCCCCUUGAAUCCCUCCUCACUCCUUGUGAUUUUACCCUGCUCUGUAAGUUUUAUGAGUUUAUAGAUUCCUGUUUUCUGUAACUAGUGUCUGUAAGUCUCUGUAGCACCGUGGAGGUAAUGAGACAUGCUUGAGCAAGCUUAGAUUGCAGCCAUCUGGGCGCCAUAGCGAAGGACACGAGAUAAGGCUGUGCAGGCAUCUUGAGCAAACCUAGAUAACAGCCACCUGGCCUGCACAGCAAGAAUCAUGUGUAAGCUUGAGUUAGGAACCUGUCACAGUUUGAUUAACUGCCUUUGUUCUGCUUCUGUAAGCUUGCUUUCCACACCCCACAAGCUUUGCGCCACUGGCAAGCCACCCUCCUUCAGUUGCAUGAAUAAAAGUCAAGCCCUGUCUUCUUUUGUUGCUCAGCCUCUGGAUAUUAAUCCACUAAGCCAGUGGCAACCUAAAUAAAAUCCUCCUGUUCCACCCAUCUGGUCUCUCCAGUCUCCUCAUUCCUGCAACACCUGCAAUCCCAGCUACAUGGGAGGCUGAGGCAGGAGAAUCACUUGAACCUGGGAGGCAGAGGGCACAGUGAGCCAAGAUGGUGCCACUGCACUCCAUCCUGGGUGACAGAGAGAGACUCAGUCUCAAAAAAAAAAAAAAAAAGAAUAUAAGUGAAUGUUGACCUCAUGGGGACUCACUGGUGUUUCAGACAUCAAGACUAUAGGCUAGAGUUCAAGACCCAGUGAGGAGAUGUGAUAUGAUUUUGUGUGAGGCAAGCAUCAAAAGCAGACACCUGUGUGUAAAGCCCAGAGAUCUGAAGAGCUAACCUGUCUGUGAAAAGGGAAUUAGAUAAAACACAGGCUACCAGUUCACAGAUGCUAGAGAGAGCUUGCUGUCAGCCUAGGGGGAAUUCUCACCAACUGAAAAAUUCCUAUCAGUGUUCAAUGACAUACGACAUUCAUAGAGAUUCUGAAUUGCCCAAGGAGUUUCCAAAUUGUAAUUCUAAUCCAUGAGUUUUGGGCAAUUUAGUGGCUUUGUGAUAAGAAAGGGGAAAUGCAAAACUUCUCUUGUAAGACUCGUGGUGUGAGCUGGUCCUGAAGUUCUUGAUCAUUUUGUUAGCACCCAAACUGGUUUGUCAACAAACUUUGAGAGUCAAAAGCUUGAGAGACAUGCACAUCAAAGACCAUGACAAAAAGGGAAGAAAAGCAACAACAGCACAGAAG